UGAAACACUGGAAGAUACAUCAACACUAGGUCCACUCCGCUGCACAGAAACAACUGGCUUGGUCCAAGCGGCAUCCUGAGUUUCCACCUGGCUAAUGAAUUUAGGGAGAAUUUUCACCACUUCUGAAUAAGUGGCCCAUGUGUUUCAAUUAUGGACAAAAUCAACAAAACACACCAGUAAGUGAAGCAAAGGAAAAGCCAUGGGCCUGAAAACCUGGGCUUCUCUUCCUGCCAUAACACAAGCUAUUCAGCAGCCAAGAACAAGGGUAUUUUCUGGAUUUUCUACAGUGAACAUGUACGAUCUUUAUACUAAAAGUUUAGUUUUUUGUAAAAAAUUAUGUAAACAACAGUACUUAUUUGGAAGUUUAAUGCAUGAAAGCAUCUCUGAAUUUGGCCUAAAUGCAAUGACCAUACUAAGUCUUUCUGACCAGACCAGCAAACCAGCAGAAUAAGCAUUUCAACCAUUCUUCAUGCUGAAUGUGAUUACUGUUCCAAGUGAUGGGUUUUAAGGGGCUUUUAAAUUCAAUUUGUGAGUACAGUUAGGCCUCCAUAAUAAUCAACCUAAUUCAACCAUUAUGUAAAUCACUGCCUCACAGAGAGGUACCCUGGUGGAGAAAGAGAAAAGACCACAAGCAAGAAUACUUAGGAAACAGAAUGCUUUGACUAAAUGAAUGUGAUACUUAACAGCAAUAAAAAAAAACCUUUAAUUCAA
ensembl:lncRNA novel transcript